rnacentral:rRNA from 1 species
UUAGUGGCGAACGGGUGAGUAACACGUGAGCAACCUGCCCCUGACUCUGGGAUAAGCGCUGGAAACGGCGUCUAAUACUGGAUACGAGUAGCGAUCGCAUGGUCAGCUACUGGAAAGAUUUUUUGGUUGGGGAUGGGCUCGCGGCCUAUCAGCUUGUUGGUGAGGUAAUGGCUCACCAAGGCGUCGACGGGUAGCCGGCCUGAGAGGGUGACCGGCCACACUGGGGCUGAGACACGGCCCAGACUCCUACGGGAGGCAGCAGUGGGGAAUAUUGCACAAUGGGCGGAAGCCUGAUGCAGCAACGCCGCGUGAGGGAUGACGGCCUUCGGGUUGUAAACCUCUUUUAGCAGGGAAGAAGCGAGAGUGACGGUACCUGCAGAAAAAGCGCCGGCUAACUACGUGCCAGCAGCCGCGGUAAUACGUAGGGCGCAAGCGUUAUCCGGAAUUAUUGGGCGUAAAGAGCUCGUAGGCGGUUUGUCGCGUCUGCUGUGAAAUCCCGAGGCUCAACCUCGGGCCUGCAGUGGGUACGGGCAGACUAGAGUGCGGUAGGGGAGAUUGGAAUUCCUGGUGUAGCGGUGGAAUGCGCAGAUAUCAGGAGGAACACCGAUGGCGAAGGCAGAUCUCUGGGCCGUAACUGACGCUGAGGAGCGAAAGGGUGGGGAGCAAACAGGCUUAGAUACCCUGGUAGUCCACCCCGUAAACGUUGGGAACUAGUUGUGGGGUCCAUUCCACGGAUUCCGUGACGCAGCUAACGCAUUAAGUUCCCCGCCUGGGGAGUACGGCCGCAAGGCUAAAACUCAAAGGAAUUGACGGGGACCCGCACAAGCGGCGGAGCAUGCGGAUUAAUUCGAUGCAACGCGAAGAACCUUACCAAGGCUUGACAUAUACGAGAACGGGCCAGAAAUGGUCAACUCUUUGGAC